AAAACCAACAACAUCAAUACAACCAUCAACAACAAGAACAAUUAUGGAAAAUAUAGUCUCCGCGACCACAGCUGCAGAUAAAGUUAUUGUAAUGUCAAUGAAAAUAUCUGAUCAGCCAUUUGACUUCAGUCUUACCAACCGUAACUGGCAAGAUCUACAAAGAUUUAUCUGGAC